CACGGGCACUGCGCACGGCGGCUGAGCGGUGCACAGCGGCCACGCGUCCUCGCUGCCGACCGUCGUCACCAACAACAGGCACGCCUCCAUGCACAGCGAACCUGUUGUCUCCGAAACAAUAAGCUCGCCGCAACCACCAUGUCUUGUGCGGCACUCAUCAGUGAUCCGGGCUUGAUCUGCUUCAGCUGAGAGAAGAACGCAUACCGCGCAUCGUCAACAGCACUAGGAAGAAAGGCACCGCUGAGCAACAGCGGGGCCCAAGGCCGCUUGGCGUUACGGGACUACCAGGGACCUGUUGCCGACAUCGUGGGCGGCUGCGCAGACAAGUGCUGAGCGUCAUGUGCGGGCGUGCAUGGGUGACUGGACUUCUCGCUAGGUAGUCCUGACACAUAUCACUCGCUACGCGGUAUCUACCCUCUUGCCGCCACCCGCUACCAACACCACCUGACGCCCUCCCAGCCUCCACCGUUCAGAGCCAACGGUGAGAGCACCUACUUCGCCUCGCCUGCCAGUUCAAGCCACUACGGACCAACACUACGGUGAGAGCGCCGCCCUGUUACUUGUACGCCGCCUUAUCGCUUAGGGUUUACCGUUACGGGUAGUUUGAGCAGGAACUUGUGGUACUCUAUAUAGGCGUUGA